UGAAGGACAAGGACAAUCUAAUCACAAUGAAGAAUGUUCCAGGCCAGGCUGCUGACUGUGCCCUGUUCCUUGUUGUGUUUUAAGAGGUCCGUUUCCAGGUGAACUCUGGAGCAGUUUGUUUGUAUUGUAUUGAUCACCAGAGAAGCACGACAAUGAUCAGAAGCAGACGCCAAGACAAG